GGAAGGUGAGGGGAGAUUAAUCGAAUGAUCAAACUUUUGGUUGAGGAAAAAGUUCCCCUUUGCUAAACUUUUGAUUCGGGUGAGGAAAAAGUUCCCUUUUUCUUGACUGGGUUGAGUUUAUGAAUUUAUCUAUUUUUUGGAUAAUGUUUUCUUUGCAAAUUAUUUUUAUUAUUUUUGGGAAAGACCAAAAAAAUUAGCAGUUUUUUGUUUUUUGUUUGCAUUACUUUUAAAUAGUUUGAAUGCUCUCAAUUGAAUCUCAGUUGUGAGUUUAUGAAAUCUUUCUUUUGAGAUUGUGGUUUGAAGAUUUUUGAAACGGAUGCUCCUUGCAUUGUGGUGCCAAAGAUAUUUAUGAAGGUUAUCAAAGAAAGAGCAUUUUUCUUGUUACCAAAACAAUCCCAUAAAUACCAAAUCAGUGAUUGUAUUCCAAAAAGAUGUCACAAUUGCUCUACAAUUGUGUUUGCUGCCACGGUGAAAAGUAUAGAAGGGGGAGUUGUUCUAAGCGGCGGAGCAACUCGUCUCCUCUCAUCUCAGAACUUACUUGGGUCCUUUCCUUACUACUGCAAGCAGCGAAAGAAAUGGAAGGUUUCAAUAUGGAAGGAUCAAAUCCAUCAUCCUUGGUGUAUCUUUGUGUGAGCACAACCAAACUUUCUGGUGAACAAAAAUCGAGUUGGUAUAUAAUCAAUUUCAAUGAAGCAGCAUCUAUCCUUGGGCCCUGUCACAAAGAAAAUGGAAAAAGAAGCCAAGAGAAGAGCCAAUCUGGUUAAGAAGAUAGCUGAGAUAUUUGUUAGUGGAGGGAAAGUAGAGGAGAUGGAGGAGUUCUUCUCCACACCGGUCACCCCGGUGUGUGAGACCCCUAAUAUGGCAGCAUUUGGUUGUUUUUGGACUACAUUGGAAUCGGUUGUAUACUGCUUUGGGGCCACACGAGGUAGUCACAAAGUCAAGUAUUGGGCCCUUGCAGAGAUUCAAAAAGGCAUGGAGGUAGCUCCUAGCCGCCGAAGUUGUGGUAAAGCUGUGGGUAUUGAUAGGAAAAUUUGUCUUUGGAGGCACUAAGCCCUGGGGUGGUUCUAGCACCAACUGUAGUUCAAAGGCGUGGGCGGAAGUGUUUCAUGCUUCCAAUAAUGAAUGGAAGCCAUUGAAACAACCUUCCUUCCAUGCGCCCUGUGUAUUUGUUUCUGUUAUCCAUGCAUAAUGAAAAAAUCAUUAUUGUUGGAUCACUAUUAUGUUUGUCAAGAUUCAUGGGAUGUGGUGGAUGAAAAAUUUGAGCUCAUAUCUCCAUAUUGUGAUCCAGUAUUGGCUAGUCAUACCCUUUAUUGGGUUGGAGAUGAGAUCAUUCAUGCAUAUGAUCUCAAUGAGAGAAUAUUUUUGCGGUCGUAUCCAUUUUUGGGCAUUGAAAGAAGUUUUGUUGGUUUUAAGAGAUGAUCCAUGUUUUCCACUACUCUUUUUUCACUUACAUGAUGAAACAUUUUGCCUGAUAUGGGAGGAUUAUGAGUAUUCUGCUGGAUCAAGAGAGGAGUACUCGGUUUGAGUGUGAAGCCAUUGUCUACCGAAUAUUAUCUCCCUAAUGGAAUUGUUAUCAACUCCUUCGAUGGCAUGGUGCUUAACACAGGUGGAAUGGGGGUAACUUCUGGUUCCAGAUAGGACAUUGAAGGUAGAGCAUCUACCAUUGCAUUGUGGGAAUGGUUCGGGAAGGUUCUUGUUUCAAGACACUGCAUGACUUAUUUGAUACUAGUAUUUGUUUUUUUGAAUUUGCUGAACAAUCUGUUUUUAAUGCUUUAUUAUAAGGUAUGUAGAAUCUUGGUUUUCAUUUUCUAAGUAAUUUCAGAUGUGUAGACAUUUUUUCUCUUUUU